UUAUUAUUGAAUCAUCGUCGUCGUCACUAUCGCACCAUCAUCAUCUCCACCACAGAAGACUAACUAUAACCAACUUAUGGUUAUAUCUACUACCACUUGACGUGCGUUCUCACGCCCACACCUGCAUGCAUGGGAUCAACUUGAGAAAAAUUAUGACGAAAAGUAAGAAGUUGUUGAAGAAACUGGUGACGAUGCAGCAAGUUCCUAGUAUUUCGGGUGAACAGCAUGCCGUAAAUUCAUAUGAAAAUAACAAAUUAACCAGGGGAGGUUUAAUGUUUUAAUGGUAAGGCAAUUUGUGAGGACGAUUUAUUGUUUCUUCAAGUUUAUUCAAAAACAAGCUUUUUUUAGUCUUUCAUAUAGAAAAAUGCUAUGUAUCUAUAUAUCAUAAUAUUUUUUUUAUUAUGCCGGCGAUUAAUAGGAAUUGAGAGAGGGUAAGAAUUUAGGGAGAGUUGAAGACUCUUUGACAUAUGCAGAUAAUGUUAUUGUACAGAUAUUUUUGCCCUGAUACGGAUACUGAUGAUGAGCAAUAGUGAAUGUAUUUGGUAACAAUGCUCUAAUGACAAUGUUGAAAACAAGAUAAUGGAGAGAGAGACAUACAUAAGUUGAGUGGGGAAUAUAAAAG